rnacentral:piRNA from 1 species
UCUACUUCUACCUGGGUCAGGUGGCCAUUC